UACGGGGGGGGCAAGCGUUGUUCGGAAUUACUGGGCGUAAAGGGCUCGUAGGCGGCCAACUAAGUCCGACGUGAAAUCCCAAGGCUUAACCUUGGAACUGCGUCGGAUACUGGAUGGCUUGAAUCCGGGAGAGGGAUGCGGAAUUCCAGGUGUAGCGGUGAAAUGCGUAGAUAUCUGGAGGAACACCGGUGGCGAAGGCGGCAUCCUGGACCGGUAUUGACGCUGAGGCGCGAAAGCCAGGGGAGCAAACGGG
rnacentral:rRNA from 1 species